rnacentral:rRNA from 1 species
CCAAACAUCUAGCCCACCCACCACCACCAAUUCUUAACCCCAAUAAAACAUUUUCACCUUCUAGUAGGGGGGACCGAAAAAUUUAUAGGCGCCUCAGACCAAGUACCGAAAGGGAAUGAUGAAAUAAUAAUGAAAUAACUUAAGCCCUUCACAGCAAAGCUUAUACCUUGUACCUUUUGCAUCAUGGUCAAGCUAGUUCAACUAGGCAAAAAGCAAUUUUAGUUUAACUUCCCGAAACUGGGUGAGCUACUUUAAAACAGUCUUAUAGAACAAACCCAUCCUUGUCGCAAAAGAGUGGGAAGAUUUUUUAGUAGCAGUGAAAAGCUUACCGGACCCAGAGAUAGCUGGUUGUCUAAGAAAAGAAUCUGAGUUCAGCCUCAAGGUUAAAUAUACCCACAAAUAGCCCCCGGACGUUAAGAGUUAUUCAAAUAGGGUUCAGCCUAUUUGCCCUAGGACACAGCCUCCAACACAGGGUAACAUUUAUUACACCAAAAAGUAGGCCUGAAAGCAGCC